ACUCUAUAUAUUUACAUGUUUAUUUUCUUCGAUCUUAUUGACGUACACUUUACUUUAAAUUCGGUUCAUGCAACUUAUGUGAGGAAAAAAAUCCUACUAUAUUAUUUGGGAAGUACAUUUUAAAUAUAACCUUAAUUUUUGUAAGAAAUUACAUAGGUAUGCCAUUAGAAAUAAAAUUUUAAAGAGUAAAUUAAUUUAUCUCUUUAAGGAUUAAAA
rnacentral:sRNA from 1 species